AUGGAGCUGAGGGAGAUGGCCGCGGCGGCGGCGGCGGCUGCGUCGGCGGGAGGAGGAGGAGGAGGCGGCGGCGGCGGCGGGGGCGGGGGCGGCAGGCUGCCGCCGCCCAACCCCAACCUGCCCUACCGCGAGGACUGCUGGAGCGAGGGCGAGACGGCGGCGCUCGUCGGCGCCUGGGGCAGCCGCUACGUCGACCUCAACCGCGGCAACCUGCGCCAGAAGCAGUGGCAGGAGGUCGCCGGCGCCGUCAACUCGCGCCGCGGGGCCGCCGCGCGCCGCCGCCCGCCGCGCACCGACGUCCAGUGCAAGAACCGCGUCGACACGCUCAAGAAGAAGUACAAAGCGGAGCGCGCCCGCGGCGGGCCCUCCGCCUGGAACUUCUACGGCGAGCUCGACCGCCUCGUCGGCCCCACCCUCGCCGCCGCCGCCGCCACCAAGAAGCACCCCUCCUCCGGGCCGCCGGGCCCUCACUUCGCCCUGCCUCUCCACCCUUCCGCCGCCAGGAGGCACCCGUCGCCCUCCUCUUCGCCGUCCCCGCCUCCGCCCAUGGCUCUGCCGCUGCCCAACUACCGCCGCGGGGCGCCGCUCCCUGCCGCCGCGUUUAUCCAGCAGGCCGCCGCCGCCGCUGCCGCGAUUUCUGAUUCAGACGACUCCGGUGAUCUCGGUGACAACAACAGCAACAACUCGCGGCGGUCACCGUCCCGCUCCGUUUCAUCGCACUCCGGUGGUAACAACAAGCGCCGCCGCCGCAGCGAAAGCAGCAGUGGUGGCGAUGGUGGUGUCGGCGAGCUGGCGAGGGCGAUCGAGGCAUUUGCAGAGAUGUACGAGCGCGUCGAGAGUGCCAAGCAGAAGCAGUCCCUGGAGAUGGAGCGAGAAAGGAUCAACUUCAUGAAGCAGCUGGAGGUGAAGCGCAUGGAGAACUUCGUCGAAGCACAUGUGAAGCUCGCAAGAAUGAAGCAUGCCAAGAAGAAUGGAGGUUCUGCAGCCAAUGGUACCAUUGGAGUGGAGCUGGCUUCCUCCGUGGCUGCGCUGCCUUUCCUCUCCAACCCUGCAUACCUCUGA
rnacentral:rRNA from 1 species